GUAGCCGUUUGACAACCGACCACUCAGAAGCAUGUGUGCAAGUUAAAGUAUGACCCCCAGAUAUCGGAGCUCAACAAAGGAAAGCAGUGCCAGGGAUCGCAUUGACUGAUUGUCCCGCUGAACAGGCAUCCUGUUCAAACUGCAGCUGACUCAUGCAGAGACCAUGAGAUGACUGGCAGCAGUGCCACCUGUGAGUGCUGCCAACUCUCUUUGUUACAAACGCAGAGCCAAACAUGCUGCUGCAAGGAACUGAACCAGUAUGGAGGCAGAAUGAAUGGGCACAAACUGCCACAGACACAUUCCAAAAGGGUUUCCAAGAAGAUUGGAGGCUGUUAUGGCUGCAAAUGGGGGACCAACUCCACAUUAAGCUUGAGUACGUCUCUCUGAAUAGCACCAAGGCUGCUAACUGAACCUGUGCAAGGACUGUAUCCUCUGUUCUUGGGACGCCUGC